rnacentral:tRNA from 1 species
GCGCCGGUGGUGUAAGGCGAACAUCGCUGCCCGGAAGCAGAAGAUGCGGGUUCGAGUCCCGCCUGGCGCA